GAGAGAGAGAGAGAGAGAGAACUUGGUGAAUUUGGUAAAUUUAGUUUAAUUACAACGGUAAUAAUGUCUUUUCACUAAUCACAAAAGCAAAAUAGCACUAACAUAAACAAAAGAACCUAUCAAUUGACAGAAGUAACCACAAGGACCAACUAAUUGAUUUUUCAAAGUAAAGGGACUGACUUGUGAAUAAUGACAAUGUCCAGGGACUAAAUGAUAAUUCUCCAUAACUUCUUCCACAUUUUUAACUUGGUUCCCAAACAAAGAACAUAACUGAAUAAAAAAGAAAGCAUCUUACGAGCUAUUCACCACUGUUGAGCUU
rnacentral:misc_RNA from 1 species